UUUCCUCUGGUCCUUCUCU
rnacentral:miRNA from 1 species